CCUAAUAUGUUUGAUAUUUUAUCUCACAAUUGUUGUUUAUUUUCUUUCAUCUUUAUUUUUACAGAUCUUUUCCAGGCUACUUUAAACCAGCACUUGCUCAUGGAAAAAAGAGAUGUUUGACACCUAAAGUUUACAUAAAUAAAACCGGCAAGACUUUAUCAUUUCGUUUUUAUUUACUCGCCAAAAACAUCUCCUACACACUGUUACCAACAGAGGAACUUGAACUCCUUCAAAGACAAACUGUGUGUCUCCCAGAGGACUCUAAUCACUCGGAGAUUUCAAAGUUACUGGUUGAAGCAUUCCCAAAAAUGGCAGAUCUUUGUGGAGGAUGGCUUUUGCAUAAAUCAGCAGGGGGCAAUGGUCUACGAAAGCUCAUUUUAAUUCCACCCGAAGCAGAAGGAUAUACUGCCAAAGCCCUCAAAGCUCAAUCAGGUGGUGGAAAAACCACUUUAUACAUCAUUCCUCUUCAAGAAACUUUAGACACUUCUCCUUUGCCUCUUGACUCACAACAUUUUUCAAAGAUGCCAAAGACAACUUGUUACCAGUGUAAUGAAGUGAUGCCUCUCCAGAUGCUUGCAGUGCACAUUCAAACAUGCAUUGGCAAAUCUGUUUCAGAUGAGACGGAUGAGGAUGAGGAUUCUGACUUGUGCAUUGUAGAGAACGAAUGUAAGGUGGUGUGUCCAAUUUGCUCCAAGAACUUUUCUGAGCAAGACAUUGCAGUGCAUGCUGGUCUGUGUGGAGAGAGAUGAGAUUUGUCUUUCCCCUUCAUGCAUGUAGAACAGAAGAUGUGUUGCAUCACCUUGAGCAACAGGUCAACAUGAAUAUGGAAUUCCAACUGUGUGUGGACAGAGAGGGGCUUCCAGACAGAGGCAUUCUGCAAUGGCAAAGAAAAAAAUCUUCAUCUCCUGCUGGUACACUGAAGGUUGUGUACAUUGGGGAGGCAGGAGUGGAUACAGGAGCAGUGAAAAGAGAAUUUUUGACAGAUAUGAUUUCAGGUUGUUAUGGUGCCUGUCAGUCUCCUCCCCCUCCUGCUCUGCUCCUGACUCCACCAGCUGGGACCAAUUCACCUCGUCACUGCUUCUGCUUUUAAGGAGUUCCAGACCCAUUAGCCAAUGCCAGUUUGUUGCCCUUUAUGGAUUCCAGCCUCCAAGUGUUCCCAGUGUGGAUGUCAGUCCGAGUCCUCCUACAGUACGGUGGAAACCUCAAGCUCUGCCAAGCUGCGCUCUUACCUCCAGCCACGCCACAGGCCGCUGUCCUCUCCAGCUGCCCUCCAAGCCACACCAACUUUCCUGGAAGGAAAAAAAUAAAACUCUUUACUUACCGUUCACCUCCUUGUCCUCAUUCUGGGUUUCAGCGUCUGGGUCUGUCAAUCCUUCAAGUCAUGACACAGGUAUUGAGAACAGGUUCUUUGAAGGAGUUGAAGGCCAGGGUAAAAACCCCAAGUACUCACUGACAGACCUUGACAAUGAAUAUUUCAGGACUGUUGGUGAAAUAAUUGCGGUCAGCCUAGCCCAAGGUGGGCCAGCUCCAGCGUUCCUGAAAGAGUGGUGCUAUGGAUUCAUUUGUACUGGAGACAUGGAUCUCUGCUCUUUGUCAAAGCAAGAUGUGACAGACCAAGAAUCGUCUCUCCUCAUCACCAAAGUAGGAAUCUGGUAGCAUGUCAGAACUUUUACAAUAUUCCCCCUAAGUUUUGAUUAAGAAUUGAACAUUUUCUAUAGUCUCAAAAAUGUUUAUUUAUCAAGAUUUUUAAUAUUUUGGAAAAAAAGUUAAGAAGGGAGUUUGCUAACAGAUCAUUUUAGUCUGACUCACAUGAUCAAAGAUCCAACUAGGAUAAAAACCUGUUCACAAACAAGAAUAUAUCUUUUUUCUUCUUCAAAGUAUGCCAGAAAGAAAAACAUACAUUUUUAACUGGUUUCAAAUCACAAAGCCAUUUUUAUUUCCAAAAAACUUAC